GACGAACGCUGGCGGCGUGCUUAACACAUGCAAGUCGAACGGAAAGGCCCUGCUUUUGUGGGGUGCUCGAGUGGCGAACGGGUGAGUAACACGUGAGUAACCUGCCCUUGACUUUGGGAUAACUUCAGGAAACUGGGGCUAAUACCGGAUAGGAGCUCCUGCUGCAUGGUGGGGGUUGGAAAGUUUCGGCGGUUGGGGAUGGACUCGCGGCUUAUCAGCUUGUUGGUGGGGUAGUGGCUUACCAAGGCUUUGACGGGUAGCCGGCCUGAGAGGGUGACCGGCCACAUUGGGACUGAGAUACGGCCCAGACUACUACGGGAGGAAGCAGUGGGGAAUAUUGCACAAUGGGCGGAAGCCUGAUGCAGCAACGCCGCGUGCGGGAUGACGGCCUUCGGGUUGUAAACCGCUUUCGCCUGUGACGAAGCGUGAGUGACGGUAAUGGGUAAAGAAGCACCGGCUAACUACGUG
rnacentral:rRNA from 1 species